GAACAGUUGCUUAUUGACUGACGUUUAAGUCAGUCUUGACACUAAUGUUUUCACAGCUGUAAUCACUUUACUAACUAUUUCUUGCAUGAAUCAAUUUUAACAAAUUUUCACACACACAAGUAAUGCAAGACGUUGAACCACUGCAGCGGCGUAACAAACUUCGAUUUUUCACCAAACAAAAAACUACCGUUUUCAGCGGCACACAUACGCGCGCACCAAAGUACACACAA